GAAAGGCAAUUCAAAUACAUGUUUUGUUCCUUGUAUCACCUCAUUCUGUUUGAAAGCUACCUAUUCAGGUUACCUUAUUUUGGUAACACUCAUUGAAUUGCUUUUACUGAAUAGUACUUUGGCUCUCUUGGGCCUAAAUUGAAGGACACUGUGAUAAACAACCAAAUGGAAGUCUCUGUUGUACUCAUCACAGCGAUGCAGAGAUGACAGCAUCAUGCCUACAUCACACAGGGUCCUUUACAAAGACUCAAAGAGAGCUCUCAGGUCUCAGGGUUAGGGAAGGCUGUGCUUUGCCCAGAGAAAUGAUCUGCUUUGAUCUUAGAACACCAUAGUUCCUCACCCGAAGAAGCAGAGCAAUGCUACUGUGUUUAUUGUACCAAUGAAAGAAGUAAGGCCCAAUGAGAUGGGAGAAUGUGUCCAAACUCCAGCAGCCCCGUACUGCAGAUACUAAGCCUGGGUACUGGAACUCACCAAGUCAACUACUAUGGCUACCAUGAGUUAAAGCAGGGAGGAAGCAGGCUGCCAGCCAAUACAAUGAUGCCAAUUUCAAGCAAGACAAGCCAGGAAGCACCUCUAAAAGACUGAAGGGAACUGCCCUGUCUGUAAGGUGACUCUUCUCAUGAAGAGUGAGAUGCUCAGUGUUUCCUGUCCUGAUAACAGCAAAAGGGUUGUCAUCAUUAGUUAACAGUCCAUUACUGAGUCUGAAUCCAGGGGUUCUCUCAUACCCUUUCUCUCCCCCUUCCUUUUAUUAAAAGUCAGUGAGAAUUCUUUCCUCUCUGGCUGAGGAAAAAAGAAGAAGCAGAUCAGGGUGAUCUCUGUCUAUUCGUUGCAGCUUUGUUGCCAGA